UGAGUAAUGCCUAGGAAUCUGCCUGGUAGUGGGGGACAACGUUUCGAAAGGAACGCUAAUACCGCAUACGUCCUACGGGAGAAAGCAGGGGACCUUCGGGCCUUGCGCUAUCAGAUGAGCCUAGGUCGGAUUAGCUAGUUGGUGAGGUAAUGGCUCACCAAGGCGACGAUCCGUAACUGGUCUGAGAGGAUGAUCAGUCACACUGGAACUGAGACACGGUCCAGACUCCUACGGGAGGCAGCAGAU
rnacentral:rRNA from 1 species